rnacentral:rRNA from 1 species
GUGGGGAAUAUUGCGCAAUGGGGGCAACCCUGACGCAGCCAUGCCGCGUGAAUGAAGAAGGCCUUCGGGUUGUAAAGUUCUUUCGGUAGCGAGGAAGGCAUUUAGUUUAAUAGACUAGGUGAUUGACGUUAACUACAGAAGAAGCACCGGCUAACUCCGUGCCAGCAGCCGCGGUAAUACGGAGGGUGCGAGCGUUAAUCGGAAUAACUGGGCGCAAAGGGCACGCAGGCGGUGACUUAAGUGAGGUGUGAAAGCCCCGGGCUUAACCUGGGAAUUGCAUUUCAUACUGGGUCGCUAGAGUACUUGAGGGAGGGGUAGAAUUCCACGUGUAGCGGUGAAAUGCGUAGAGAUGUGGAGGAAUACCGAAGGCGAAGGCAGCCCCUUGGGAAUGUACUGACGCUCAUGUGCGAAAGCGUGGGGAGCAAACAGGAUUAGAAACCCCUGUAGUCC